rnacentral:rRNA from 1 species
UUGGGUUUAUUUUGCGCAGAAUAGGUGGGAGGCUAAGAUAAUAUAUUUGAGGAUAUAUAGGAGCCACCAGUGAGAUACCACUCUAAGUAAACUAGAAUUCUAACCUUGAAAGCCGUUAACCGGCCAAGGAACAGUUUCAGGCGGGCAGUUUGACUGGGGCGGUCGCCUCCUAAAAGGUAACGGAGGCGUACAAAGGUUUUCUCAGGCUGGUCAGAAAUCAGUUGCAGAGUAUAAAGGCAUAAGAAAGCUUGACUGCAAGACCUACAAGUCGAGCAGAGACGAAAGUCGGUCUUAGUGAUCCGACAGUUCUGAGUGGAAAGGCUGUC